UGAUCGCAUGAGGGAUAGCAGUGGAAAUCCUUUUUUGUCCCGAGGAUUCGGGAGCAAAAAAGAUUGGAACGGAUAGCCCGACCCGCU
rnacentral:sRNA from 1 species